GCCCUAGUAACGGCGAGUGAAGCGGCAACAGCUCAAAUUUGAAAUCUGGCCCCCUAGGGGGUCCGAGUUGUAAUUUGCAGAGGGUGCUUUGGCGUUGGCAGCGGUCUAAGUUCCUUGGAACAGGACGUCACAGAGGGUGAGAAUCCCGUACGUGGUCGCCAGCCUCCGCCGUGUAAAGCCCCUUCGACGAGUCGAGUUGUUUGGGAAUGCAGCUCUAAAUGGGAGGUAAAUUUCUUCUAAAGCUAAAUACUGGCCAGAGACCGAUAGCGCACAAGUAGAGUGAUCGAAAGAUGAAAAGCACUUUGGAAAGAGAGUCAAAAAGCACGUGAAAUUGUUGAAAGGGAAGCGCUUGCAGCCAGACUUGCCUGUAGUUGCUCAGCCGGGCUCCGGCCCGGUGCACUCUUCUGCGGGCAGGCCAGCAUCAGUUCGGGCGGCCGGAUAAAGACCUCUGUCACGUACCUCCCUCCGGGGAGGACUUAUAGGGGAGGUGAAAUGCGGCCAGUCCGGACUGAGGUCCGCGCAUCUGCUAGGAUGCUGGCGUAAUGGCUGUAAGCGGCCCGUCUUGAAACACGGACCAAGGAGUCUAACAUCUAUGCGAGUGUUUGGGUGUCAAGCCCGAGCGCGUAAUGAAAGUGAACGGAGGUGGGAACCCCUCGGGGUGCACCAUCGACCGAUCCUGAUGUCUUCGGAUGGAUUUGAGUAAGAGCAUAGCUGUUGGGACCCGAAAGAUGGUGAACUAUGCUUGAAUAGGGUGAAGCCAGAGGAAACUCUGGUGGAGGCUCGCAGCGGUUCUGACGUGCAAAUCGAUCGUCAAAUUUGGGCAUAGGGGCGAAAGACUAAUC
rnacentral:rRNA from 1 species